CAGCCGCCGCGGGAAUACGGAGGGUGCAAGCGUUAAUCGGAAUUACUGGGCGUAAAGCGUGCGUAGGCGGUUCGUUAAGUCUGUUGUGAAAGCCCCGGGCUCAACCUGGGAAUGGCAAUGGAUACUGGCGAGCUAGAGUGUGUCAGAGGAUGGUGGAAUUCCCGGUGUAGCGGUGAAAUGCGUAGAGAUCGGGAGGAACAUCAGUGGCGAAGGCGGCCAUCUGGGACAACACUGACGCUGAGGCACGAAAGCGUGGGGAGCAAACAGGAUUAGAGACCCCCGUAGUCCCUGUCUCUUAUAC
rnacentral:rRNA from 1 species